AUUGAACGCUGGCGGCAUGCUUUACACAUGCAAGUCGAACGGUAACAGGUUAAGCUGACGAGUGGCGAACGGGUGAGUAAUGCAUCGGAACGUGCCCGGUCGUGGGGGAUAACGCAGCGAAAGCUGCGCUAAUACCGCAUACGAUCUGAGGAUGAAAGCGGGGGACCGUAAGGCCUCGCGCGAUCGGAGCGUCCGAUGUCAGAUUAGGUAGUUGGUGGGGUAAAGGCUCACCAAGCCAACGAUCUGUAGCUGGUCUGAGAGGACGACCAGCCAAACGGGGACUGGGACACGGACCAGACUCCUACGGGAGGCAGCAGUGGGGAAUUUUGGACAAUGGGCGAAAGCCUGAUCCAGCAAUGCCGCGUGCAGGAAGAAGGCCUUCGGGUUGUAAACUGCUUUUGUACGGAGCGAAAAGGUCUCCUCUAAUACAGGGGGCUCAUGACGGUACCGUAAGAAUAAGCACCGGCUAACUACGUGCCAGCCGCCGCAGUAA
rnacentral:rRNA from 1 species